UUCCUCCGCUCCGUUUCUCUUUGGUGUUCUUUUCUUUUCUUCUCCUUUCUUUUGUUCCCUAUUCUGGCCCCCAGUUUUCCCUUCCCUUCUUCCUUCGCGCUGCUUCGCCUUCUGCGAGGUUUCUUAGGACGAGGAAACGUUAUCCUAAUCCUAGUGCGAUCAAUCCGUUCGAAAGAGAUAGCCCGGUCGCCGUUCAAGAAACCUACUCCUCCCACCCCCAAACCCUAAUCCCCCGUCGGAGCGACCGAUCCAGCCCCGGCCGCCGCCGACACGAUGGAGGUGAAGCUCUGGAACGACAAGCGGGAGCGCGAGAUGCUCGACAGCUUCGCCGAUCUCUACGCCAUCAUCAAGACCACGGAGAAGCUGGAGAAGGCGUACGUGCGCGACCUCGUUUCCUCCGCCGAGUACGAGGCGGAGUGCCUCAAGCUCAUCGCCCAAUUCAAGACCCUCUCCUCCUCCCUCCGCGAAGCCGUCCCCUCCGUCGAACGCUUCGCCGAGGCCUACAAGAUGGACUGCCCCGCCGCCCUCAACCGCCUCCUCGUCUCCGGCGUCCCUGCCACCGUCGAGCACCGCGCCUCCUCCGCCUCCUCGGCCGCGUCCUCUGCCGCCGCCGUCGCCGAGUGCGUCCAGCACUUCAUCACCGCCAUGGACUCCCUCAAGCUCAACAUGGUCGCCGUCGACCAGGUCCACCCCCUCCUCUCCGACCUCUCCUCCUCCCUCGCCAAACUUGGCGGCGGGAUCCUGCCCCCGGACUUCGAGGGGAGGGUCAAGGUCAGGGAGUGGCUCGCCAGGCUUGCGAAGAUGGGGGCCGCUGACGAGCUGACGGAGCAGCAGGCGAGGCAGCUCCACUUUGAUCUUGAAUCCUCCUACAACGCAUUCAUGGCUGCCCUUCCCAAUGCCGGGUCCUGAUCAUGACCUUGAUCAGCUCCCUCUCCAAAAUGUAGAACCCAGUUUUGGUAUUAGCAUUUAUGAAUUCUGUUGACCAUGCCUCAAGCAGUCAUUUUUGUUGUUGAGCCACCUGGGUGUAGGGGGAUUCAAGCGCAGGUGCUGAGAAGCAGACACUGGAUUGCAUGCACCUAAAGACUGCAAGUGGGAUUACAGAAACUUGUUACAAUGUGGGAAUGGAUGGUAGAUUAGGGAGGUGAAGUGCUGGAUGGUUUUUGAGUUGAUAUUUUAUGAAACAUAUAGGUACAGUUCAAAUUAUGGUCAUGUUAUUGUAUGAAUAACUUUUAAAAAAUAAAUAUUCAGAACAUAUCAUGAGUAUUUUUCAUA